GACGAACGCUGGCGGCGUGCCUCAAACAUGCAAGUCGAGCGAGGUGAGACCGAACCGCAAGGUGAGGUUGAACCUAGCGGCGAACGGGUGAGUAACACGUGGGUAACCUGCCUGGAAGAUUGGGAUAACGGCUCGAAAGAGUCGCUAAUACCGGAUAAUGUCCUGGUGCUGCAUGGCACCGGGAAGAAAGGGGAAACCCGCUUUCAGAUGGGCCCGCGCCCCAUCAGCUAGUUGGUAAGGUAACGGCUUACCAAGGCGACGACGGGUAGCCGGUCUGAGAGGACGAUCGGCCACACUGGGACUGAGAUACGGCCCAGACUCCUACGGGAGGCAGCAGUUGGGAAUCUUAGGCAAUGGGCGAAAGCCUGACCUAGCGACGCCGCGUGAGGGAAGAAGGCCUUCGGUCGUAAACCUCUGUCAUGGGGACGAAGAAGUGACGGUACCCCAGGAGGAAGCCCCUGCUAACUACGUG
rnacentral:rRNA from 1 species